GUCUUAACCGGGCGUUAAGUUGCAGGGUAUAGACCCGAAACCCGGUGAUCUAGCCAUGGGCAGGUUGAAGGUUGGGUAACACUAACUGGAGGACCGAACCGACUAAUGUUGAAAAAUUAGCGGAUGACCUGUGGCUGGGGGUGAAAGGCCAAUCAAACCGGGAGAUAGCUGGUUCUCCCCGAAAGCUAUUUAGGUAGCGCCUCGUGAAUUCAUCUCCGGGGGU
rnacentral:rRNA from 1 species